rnacentral:rRNA from 1 species
GAUGAACGCUGGCGGCGUGCCUAAUACAUGCAAGUCGAGCGAACAGACGAGGAGCUUGCUCCUCUGACGUUAGCGGCGGACGGGUGAGUAACACGUGGAUAACCUACCUAUAAGACUGGGAUAACUUCGGGAAACCGGAGCUAAUACCGGAUAAUAUAUUGAACCGCAUGGUUCAAUAGUGAAAGACGGUUUUGCUGUCACUUAUAGAUGGAUCCGCGCCGCAUUAGCUAGUUGGUAAGGUAACGGCUUACCAAGGCAACGAUGCGUAGCUGACCUGAGAGGGUGAUCGGCCUCACUGGAACUGAGACACGGUCCAGACUCCUACGGGAGGCAGCAGUAGGGAAUCUUCCGCAAUGGGCGAAAGCCUGACGGAGCAACGCCGCGUGAGUGAUGAAGGUCUUCGGAUCGUAAAACUCUGUUAUUAGGGAAGAACAAAUGUGUAAGUAACUAUGCACGUCUUGACGGUACCUAAUCAGAAAGCCACGGCUAGCUACGUG